CUGGAGGCCCCGGCCCCCCGGCGUUCCCUCUCCGCGCACCUCCCGGCCCGCGCUAGGUAGCAGGCAAGAGUGUGGUUAUCGUUGGACCAGGAUUCAGGAUCUGACUGAGUAGCUGACUCUUAAUCCAGUUUGUGUUGAUCACCAGGAGGAUCUGGACCUCAGUAUUACCACAUCUAGAGCUAUAAUCACAUCCCUGUUAAGCCUUCCUGAGAUCACACCAAAUGUCCUUGAUGGGAAUUGUAAACAACCCUUACUUCUGGUUUCUAAUGAUAUUCCAGGAAAGGAGCCUAACUAGAGUCAGUGAUAUGCCAACUCCACCUUUGCCUUCCACCAUGUUUGGAAGCUCCCUGAGGCCUCACCAGGAGCAGAUGCUCGUCCCAUGCUUCCUAUAAGCCUGCAGAACUGUGAGCCAUAAUAAACUGUGAAUUAUAAAUUGCCUUUAUAGCAAUGCAAAUGGACCAGUACAGAUGGGAUGCUGGGAAGACAGUUGUUUCCACCUUCAGUAAAGUCCGUGGAACACAGUUGUGACUAUAUUCUAGGCCAGCCAAGAUGCUUGUACUCAGAAAGGAGUGGUCUCAGGACCAUAAGAAAGUGAAAAAAUAAAAAUAAGAAAAUAAAGAAGGGAUUGUCAAUGAAUCAGAAUUCAUCAAGGUCAAAGUCUUAGGAAAUUCCUUCAUGAGGAAGUCUAGGGGGGCUAUGGAAAUGAAAUUUUUAAACAAAUAGGUAUGUGGUGCUGGCAGGAAUAAAUUAUGGACUUAUGAAUAUAACAUAAGAUUCUUUAUUACCUGGUCUCACCCGUCUUUCCACCUCUGCCCCCCUUCUUGCCCGACUCUGUGUAUCACCCAUAAUAAACUACUUACAGCUUCCUAGUGUUAAAUUUACCCUAAAGCUGCCUCCUUCAAUAUUUUAAGUUUAACCUAAAGGUUCUUCAUACAUAGUGAACUAUAACCCAAUGAUUAAACAGAUUGUAACCUACUCUUGUACCAGUCACCAAGUUUCAGCCAAUCAGAGGUGGCCAACUGUUCAAACCAUGCUCAAAUAAGGGAAAUGUCAUGGUGUAACUAAUCCAGCUGUUUCUAUACCUUACUUCUGUUUUCUUAGGUCACUUUCCUUUUUUGUCCAUAAAUUCUCUCCAACCACUCAGCAGCACUGGAGUCACUCCAAAGCUAUCCUGGUUCAGGGGUCUGUCUGAUUCACAAGUCAUUCUUUGUUCAAUUGAGCUCUGCUAAAUUUAAUUUGUCUGAAGUUUUUCUUUUAACAGAUGGUGUCAGAAAUGGACCCCAAAGUAGAGCUCCCAGUGAUCCCCCAGGAGCACUGAGUGACCACAAGGGGUACCUGCUGGGCCCGUCCUCUCGCAGUGUCCACUGCUCUCUUACAGCAACUGGAGAUUGUGGCUGCAUUCUCUCUCAGAUUCUGAAGCUCCAUACAUUGCCGUUUUCAGCUGUUCAAGCUUGCUUGAGCAAAUUUUUGAUCUUAGCUGAGUUUGGAAGUCGAUAGACAUUGGACUGGGUCCAGGAUUUGAUUGGAUCUGAUAAUUAACUGGCUUGGAUCCAGUUAGAUGCCUCGGUUAUCUGACUGGGUCAGAUAGAAACCGCCAGUAAAUAUUUUAAUAACAAUACUGCAGGGGUAUGAACUCUGGCUUUAAGAAACUCACAAGGAAUUUUAUGUUCUAUACCCUUUGUUUCUUUUUCUUGUGUGCUUCGGUCAGGAAAAAUCAUUAGUCAAGUUAAUCAAGGGGAUCUGAGAGCCAAAUACAAGAUUCAACGUAAAAAUGGAAUCCUUGGGCUAGGCGUGGUGGCUCAGGCCUGUAAUCCCAGGACUUUGGGAGGCUGAGGCAGGCGGAUCACCUGACCUUAGGAGUUCGAGACCAGUCUGGCCAACAUGGUGAAACCCCGUCUCCACUAAAAAUACAAAAAUUAGCCAGGCGUGGUGGUGGGCACCUGUAAUCCCAGCUACUUUGGAGGCUGAGGCAGGAUAAUCACUUGAACCCAGGAGGCAGAGGUUGCAGUGAUCUGAGAUUGCACCACUGCACUCCAGCCUGGGCAAAAGAGCGAGACUCCAUCUCAUAAAUAAAUACAUAAAUAAAUAAAGAAAUCCUUAAUUUCUGCGGAACUGAGUGCUCUACCUUCUGGCUACACCUACGUAUACCUGUAUGAGGUAUAGGCCCUGGAAGCAGCAAACACUUACAGAAAUGGUGAAAUCUUACUAAAGGGAAAAGAAAGCUGGAUAAAGUAUUUAUAGAAGAUAGAGGACCUGUGGUGGCUCAUGCCUGUAAUCCAAGGUGGAAGGAUUGCUUGAGGCCAGAAGUUCAAGACCAGUCCAAGCAACAUAGCAAGGCCCCAUCUCUACAAAAAAUGAAAAUAAAAUUAGCCGAGCGUGAUGGCUCAUGCCUGUAGUUCUAGCUUCUAGAGAGGCUGAGGCAGGAGGAUUGCUUGAGUCCAGGAGUUCAAGAUUACAGUGAGCUAUGGUCACACCACUGCACUCCAGCCUGGGUGAUGGAGUGAGACUGUCUCAAUAAAAAGACAAAAAGGCUGGCCAGGGGCAGUGGUUCAUGCCUGUAAACCCAGCACUUUGGGAGGCAAAGGCAGGAGGAUUGCUUAAGCCCAGGAAUUUGAGAUCAGCCUGGACAACAUGGUGAGACCCCCAUCUCUACAAAAAUUUUUUUUAAAAGUUACCCAGGCAUGGUGUUGCACAUCUGUGUUCCCAGCUACUGGGGAGGCUGAGACGGGAGGAUCACUUGAGUCCAGGAAGUUGAGAGGUUGAGGCUGCUGUGAGCUGUGAUUGUGCCACUGCACUUUAGCCUGGACAACAGAGGGAGACCCUGUCAACAACAACAACAACAACAAAAAAGCAAAACAUCAUAGGCUGCAGAAAUAAACUUUCUUGUCAAUUGUGUCUUUAACCAUGACCAUUUUGAGUCAUUUCCACAGUGAGUUGCCUAAUUUUGAUGCAUUUCUGAAAACUCUUUAUAAGCAAGUAAAAUCCUAGAGAAUUGUGCCUUCAAGGAGACUCAUGGAAAGGAUGGAAAGAACUCUUGAAUACAUGUUUCUGAUAGCUUUAUGAUCAUAUCAUUUGGACUGGGUAAGAAUUCCCAGAACUCAUGAAGAGACUGACUAUUUAUUAAUCCAAGCAGGAAAAGAAUUAAUUGAAUACCAAGGAAAUACUGUGCCAGAGAUUUUCAUGCUAAAUCAGUCAGCACCGAAAUCGUUAAGAUGUGUAGUUUGAAUGAACUCCAUGAUCCUAGUCAAAUUUCCUAUGAUGACCCAUUUAAUAAACAGUGCUAUGCACCUGAAUUGGAGAAACAGAAUUGAUACUUAAAUCCAAUGUUAAUCAUAGAUUCAUGGAAAGCCUAAAUGGCUGCUUGGGUCUUCCUGAGCCCUUAAAGCUUCCAUUAUUAAAGGCUCUGCACUUUAUAAGUUAUCACUGAAGAGAGAAAAUGAUCCAGAUUUAAAAUACACAUAUUGGUGUGGUGAAUGUUCUAAAUUGCGAAAAUGGUUUAUGACCAACAUUUGGUUUGUCAUGCUCACAAUCCUGGAAAUACAUUCAAAACUUCAGGUACAUUUCUGCUACCUGAUGGGCUAUUUGAAUAUAUAGAGAGGGAUUUCAUUCAAUUGCCAUUUUCAUUGCAUGUUUUUUGGUUGUAUAGAAGCUUUCCCAUGCAAGGAGGCUGAUGCUGUUAUUACAGUAGCUAAAAGGUUAGUAGGAAAUGUGUUUUCCCCCAUGGGGCAUUCCUGGAGAAAUCUCUAGCAAUAAAGGUACUUGUUUGACUGGACAAGUUGUAAAACAGUUUAAUAAGGUUUUUUUUAGGUGUCAUAGCAUUAGGCAAAGCUAACUGAAUUGACUGGAUUGUCAUAGUCAAACAUAUUGCAGAUCCGCUUCCAAUAGAAGACAAUGAAAUAGUCACUGGAAAGCCUGUGCUCCUAAUUUUAGAACCUCAUGUAUCUUCUGCUCCUAAACUCUGAUAGGACUAAAUGCUGUGAGGCCUCAAUGCAUUAUGUUAAUGUGUAUUUUCACCAGGUCAAGGAAGCUUUUCCUGAUCCACUAACUAAGGACAAUCAAACCCUUCAUGAUCUAGAAUCUGGAGACUGUGUCUUCUGGGAAUAGUAUCAGAGAAAGACUGCCCUUACUGCCCACAUGUAGCAAAACUUUGAGACGUUGAAUUAUGGGUCCAUAAUCUCACAACUCAGAGGGGCACCUCUAGACUCUUGGAACUGUAUAUCUAUUGGAGACUUUAAGGUAAAGCUGAACAGAGAGACGUUUUUCUCCAGAAGCAGACAGCACCAUAGUCAUGGACAGCUUUCCCAAGAUCACAGAUCAAGACUUCUCUGCCGUCAUGAGACUCAUAACCUCUUAAUUUUUUCUUGCUUAUGCUUCUGUGAACAAUAGAAUUGGAAAAGGGGUGGUCCCGCGUGCACCCAUAGGGUAUACUUUUAUUUGUGGAGGAUUUUGCUGCCAACCUUAUACAUGGGCAAACUUAUGCCUUCAUGGAUGGAAGAUAAAGGGCUAAUAUGGGUUAGAAAUUUUAAUGGUACCUUUGUUUCUCCAUAAUCAUUCAGAAACAGAACACUGGUCCACUCUUGUUAACCUACAUCAUAGGUUGAAGAGAACAUUGCCAGGAGGCCUUCAUCCUUCCAGAUGGGCACCAUUUGUUGGGUCUUUUUCCGUGGUAUGAAGAAAAUGAAGCAAUGAUUAGAAAUUGGUCCCUCGGCCGGGCACAAUGGCUCAUGCCUGUAAUCCCAUCACUUUGGCAGGCCGAGGCGGGUGGAUCACCUGAGGUCAGGAGUUUGAGACCAGCCUGACCAAUGUGGUGAAACGCCAUCUCUACUAAAAAUACAAAAAUUAGCUGGGUGUGAUGGUGCACACCUGUAAUCCAGCUACUCGGGAGGCUGAGACAGGAGAAUUGCUUGAACCUGGGAGGCAGAGGUUGCAGUGAGCCAAGAUCACCCCACUGCAUUCCAGGUUGGGCAACAGAGCAAGACUCUGUCUCAAAAAAAAAAGAAGAAAGAAAGAAAUUGAUCCCUCAUAAUAGGCUGUAUAGCAGAUUCUACUGCAAAGGCUAUGGUUGCACAACAGACUUCUUUGAAUUUGCUUGCUAAACUUUUACUGGAUAAUACUGGGAUUACAGGUGUGAGCCACUGUGCCCAGCCUCUCCUGUUUAACUGUAUUCAUUCUAAUGUUUACUUACUUCUUUAAUUUGUAAAAUUGGGUCACUUAGAGUUUUUUUAGCCUAUCUUGCCAUUUAGCCACUGUUACUGAUAAUUUGGAUGGAAAAGAAAAAUAAAUUAUAUCACCUCUCAUCUUCAGUGUAUAUAUGUGUUAACUUAGUAAAUAUAGUAUUCUUUCUCGUUCCUAAUGAAAAUUUAGUUUACGUACUGAAACACUGCAAACUUUUAUAAAUAUUGUGAUGUAUUUGACCAAUACAAAGGAUCUUUUUAGAAACAGCAAACAGUUCUCAGAUUAUAGGAAUUACUCAUUUAAUGAUAGUUUCUUCUU
rnacentral:lncRNA from 10 species